rnacentral:rRNA from 1 species
GAGACUCUGUGCGCGUGCAUAUCAAUAAGCGGAGGAAAAGAAACUAACAAGGAUUCCCUUAGUAACGGCGAGUGAAGCGGGAAGAGCUCAAAUUUGAAAUCUUCAAGGUUCUACCUUGACGAAUUGUAGUUUAUAGAAGUGUUUUCUGUUAGUAGAGUGGCAAAAGUUCUUUGGAAUAGGACAUCAUAGAGGGUGAGAAUCCCGUAUUUGGUCAUUCUUCCUAGCGUUGUGAUACACUUUCAACGAGUCGGAUUGUUUGGGAAUGCAGUCCAAAAUGGGUGGUAAAUUUCAUCUAAAGCUAAAUAUUGGCGAGAGACCGAUAGCGAACAAGUACCGUGAGGGAAAGAUGAAAAGAACUUUGAAAAGAGAGUUAAACAGUACGUGAAAUUGUCAAAAGGGAAGCGUUUGACACCAGUGUUGUUUUUCCGAAAAUCAAUUACGAAUGUUUUAGUUUUUGAGGAGUUAUGACUUCAUCGGCUUGCUUCUCUCUUUAUGAAACUUUCUUAAUGCACUUUUCGGUUAACAAGUCAACAUCAAUUUCUUUUGUUGUAAAAGGGUAUGAGGAAGGUGGCUUUCUUUUCAGAGAAAGUGUUUAUAGCCUUGUAGCCUCUGCAAUCGGAGAGAUUGAGGUCUGCAGCGUAGAUCCUUCGGGGUUAGAUACAGUUUGUGCUAAGUUAUAGCUUUUCAUAGACAACUUGUUGACUAUGUUUAGUCUUGUAGCUUACUCGCUGAUGCUAUUUUACCUACGCUUAGGAUGUUGACAGCAGUAUAGACUGU